CGGGGUGUAGCUCAGUUGGUAGAGCGCCUGGUUUGGGACCAGGAGGUCGCAGGUUCAAGCCCUGUCGCCCCGACCA
rnacentral:tRNA from 1 species